AGACCCGAAACCCGGUGAUCUAGCCAUGGGCAGGUUGAAGGUUGGGUAACACUAACUGGAGGACCGAACCGACUAAUGUUGAAAAAUUAGCGGAUGACCUGUGGCUGGGGGUGAAAGGCCAAUCAAACCGGGAGAUAGCUGGUUCUCCCCGAAAGCUAUUUAGGUAGCGCCUCGUGAAUUCAUCUCCGGGGGUAGAGCACUGUUUCGGCUAGGGGGCCAUCCCGGCUUACCAACCCGAUGCAAACUGCGAAUACCGGAGAAUGUUAUCACGGGAGACACACGGCGGGUGCUAACGUCCGUCGUGAAGAGGGAAACAACCCAGACCGCCAGCUAAGGUCCCAAAGUCAUGGUUAAGUGGGAAACGAUGUGGGAAGGCCCAGACAGCCAGGAUGUUGGCUUAGAAGCAGCCAUCAUUUAAAGAAAGCGUAAUAGCUCACUGGUCGAGUCGGCCUGCGCGGAAGAUGUAACGGGGCUAAACCAUGCACCGAAGCUGCGG
rnacentral:rRNA from 4 species